AGUUGAGGUUCAUUUUGUGUGUGUGUAUGGAUGUCCCAUUGUUCCAGCACCAUUUGGUUGGUGAAAUGACUAAUAAGAUAUGAGAUUAACUCUGGAGAAACAACACAUCAAGACUAAACGUAGGUGGCACAUAUAUCAUAAUGCAUAGGCCUCUUCCUCUUUAAGUAGAAUGCCCUAGAAAAUAGAAUUAAUAUUUUAAAAGUUCACCCAGAGAAAAUGAGAAACUUGGCUUCUCUCAAAUCUAGGAAGAUGAAAAGUAAGCACCCAUAUUGUUCUACUUCGUAAAUGCUUUCUUUAGGAAUUUUCUUAAAUAGUAAGUAGGAGUUAGAGAGUAAGUAAGUAGAGAAUAAUAUUGCAAGAACCAUAAGUGAGGCAGUUGUUAGAAUACAUGAAAAUCCUAGCCAUAAGAAUGCAAAGCAUAAAAUCUGCAAUUCCAUAAAUGAACUGGCCACAAAUGCCCCCGUUCCAAAAUGCUUUGCCAGCUUAUGAGUUAAAUUGUUCAAAAACUGUCCACUUGGUGGCACCAUGGUGCUGCUGCAAGAAAUAAGCCUUGAUUUGGGUAAAGGUUCAGUUAGGGACUGACUUCUUAAUGUAGGGUUUCAUGAUUCUUAAACACUUGGUCAUACCACAAUACAUGCCAACAACAGACAAUUGCCCUAGUCAUUUGCACAAGAGAAGAAAAAGAAAAAAAGCAUUGUAGGUUGUUCAAGCAAAGACAGAAUGGGCAGGAUUUAAGAGGACUUGUAGGGCAGGUUGAACUAGUGGAUGGAUGAAAGCCAACACAACCUGUCUUUUAUCUACAUUCCUAGACAGAAAUGCCUCUGCUGUUUUUUUUCUCUUCCUCUUUUGACUUGAUUCUGAGCAGAAAAAAAAAUGACACUUAACAAAUCAGCCUAAAUGAAAGCCCCAUCAUAAAUAUUUAUUGAGCCCCUGCUGCGCCAUCAUUAUUUGGCACCAUAAGUUACAAGGUAGAAGCCUAAACAUACUUCUUACCCUUGAUGUCCUUGAGGCCUCCUGGAGAAGACAAGAUAUAUGCAUGAAACAGUAAUUGCUGAAUUGUGUGCUGAAGAGAGAGCCAACUGGAAGCCAUAAUUGUGAAAGCCUUCAUGGAGCAGGCUAAAGAGUGGCUAGCAAAUCAAGACAUACUGCAAAAGAAAAAGAUUUUUAAAUGAGCCAUUGUGUUAGAGCAUACAGAGCACAGGACUGAAAGAGAGAGACAAAGCAUGAGCGGGGGAGGGGCGGAGAGAGGAG